rnacentral:rRNA from 1 species
CACGGGGGGAGCAAGCGUUGUUCGGAAUCACUGGGCGUAAAGGGCGUGUAGGCGGUCAGGUAAGUGGGAUGUGAAAUCCCUCGGCUCACCCGAGGACCUGCAUCCCAAACUGCCUGGCUUGAGUAUGGGAGAGGAUGAGGGAAUUCCUGGUGUAGCGGUGAAAUGCGUAGAUAUCAGGAGGAACACCGGUGGCGAAGGCGCUCAUCUGGCCCAAUACUGACGCUGAGGCGCGAAAGCUAGGGGAGCAAACGGG